GAAAAAUGUCAGAAAAUAAGAGUCCAGUUGAUGAAACCACAACAAUUGAAAUCCAUGUUCAAUCUCAGUUAUCAAGAAAAUCUUCAUGAUAUACUGUAAGAAAAAACAAAUGGAUUACAAAACAGUUCGAUUUCUCUUCGAUGGAAAACGUGCUUCACCAACAAAGACUAUUGAUGAAAUUGGGUUAAAGAAUGGUGAUCAGAUCGUUGUUGUGUUGCACCAAGAUGGAGGAGGAUUCACAAAUUAAAUAUGAAGAAGAACUACAUAUCACACAUGAAUAUGUUGUACUUUUCUAAUUUAU